UCCAACCUACGAUCUCUUCACCUACUUCACAUUUUUCUUUCUUGAUCUCUUCACACUAGUGAACCUCAUCUAUGCAGGCGAACCCCUCAAACGCCUUUGUGUUUUCCAUCCUAAACCUAUGCCUAAACGUCUUCCCGAACCUUAAGUAGAAAAACACGUCUCCAUCUAACCUAUGCUCUCUUCGCCUAGCUCUUUGCAUUUUGAUGAACUGGGAGGGGGAGAGCUUCCCCUCUGCAUUCUUUUCCUCGCCCCACAUGCCACCACCGAAGCCCUCUCCCAUAGCCUCGCCAUCGCCAGUGGCCUCCCGCCCCUCCUCCAGCUUUGCCACCACCUCGCUGCCACCAAAAUCCCCCCGACUUCUCUGAGGAGCUCUUCUUCAUCUUGUAAGAGGCGAGGAUAAACCAAGCACUGUUGCAGGACCGGGAAUAAUGGAGGGACGCAAUGGUCGUGGUGGACUUGGAUAGAAGGUUCUAGGUCUUCGAUGAUCUGGUGCAGAGGGCCUCCAAGGUGGUGUCUCCUGAGGAUGUCGGUGAAAGGGGAGCUGAGGAGGUGGGAUUCAAGGUUUGGUCUGAUGUGGCAGUGCCUAGAUUUAGGAGGAGUUUGAGCUUGAUUGGUAAGGAGAAGGAUGGAGAAGGAUGGCAAGUAGGAUAAUUAGCUCGAACGACAUAUGGUCAUAAUAAAUCCAAGGAUGCUUCGAGAACACAUGAUUCAAUACAUGUAGACCAUUUGAUUAGAGAUGAUCCUUCAAAUGUAAAAGCAUAUGAUUUUGAGUCCCAUCUUCCUGUUGAAGAACUUUUCAAGAGAGUUUCUUUUCGUUGGAAAAAUUUUGUUGAGAGUUUGCAAGGAUGCACAGAGAAGUAUGAUAUAAUUCUUUGGUAUGUUUCUUUAACAAACUAAGCCUAGUGUGAUACAUCUUUAUCUUUCAGGUUUGACUUAUGGCUUGUCUUUCUUCUAUUUGAUGAUAUAUAUUAGCUUGAUGAAUAAGGAUAUCACUCUGCAGUACAUCUUUAUACCAAUGUCAUGCACAUAGUACUAUUUAGAUUUGUUAUUUGCAUAACUUGCUAACGUGGAGUAUGUUAUGAUAAGAUCAUAAAGUGUGAAAGGUUGUUGCUUUGGAGUUUGGCUGGUAGAGAUGACAGCUGAUUCUAACAUGGGUUCCUACCAAGCAAAUCGACCUUCAUCUUUCCAUCAUCCCCUCAUGGUUUCUUUCCAGUUAGGUGCAAUAAAUAGCUUGACUGGCAUGGUUAUGACAGCUGUAGUUUGGCUGGUAACUGGCAUGGUUCCAGUUAGGUGCAAUAAAUAGCUUCAUCUUUCCAUCAUCCCCUCAUGAUUUGUUCUUCAUGAACCAAUGCCAGGGUUUGAACAUGUGUCAGGCUCGCCUGCAUCUGAACAAUCCACCUUCGUUCCCUUUUCAACGGGGGUGGAUCCAUAAUUACACUAAUAUACCUCAGGCAUGGCUGGAAAAAUUGUUUCAUCUUCUUACAAGGUUUUAUAGUGUUUGUUUCAUCAUCUUAGAAGUGUUCAUAAGAGAUUCCCUCUUCUAUAUAGUUCUCUGUAAAGUCAUUACUGGUACUUAUCCCUAAACUAUUUCAUGCAUGUGUAUCAACAUUGGCCUCAAGAGUUUGCCCGAGGAUUAAUUUUUUUCUGCUUUGAAAUGGUUUGCAUCAUUACUUACAUUUUUUGACUCUUGUUUUGGUAACUGAAUCUUUUACUUUUUGUUGAUACCAGGGGAGUAGCUUUCCUUAGAUAUUUUCAAGUAAAACAGUUGCCUGAUUUUUUUCUUGCAUCGCUGACUCUAUCUCUAGUUAUUGGCUCAGUUAUUCUUUACUCAAAUUUACUAUAUGAAGCUUUUUAGCCAUUACAUAUGCACAAGAAAAAUGAUUUUACUCGUGUCAAAGUCAGUUGAAGCAAAUAAAAGUUCAGAUGCUCCCCAUGCUUCAGCAAAUGAUAUGUCUUAUAAUAAUGGUCAAGGUA